rnacentral:rRNA from 1 species
GAUGAACGCUGGCGGCGUGCCUAAUACAUGCAAGCCGAGCGAACGGACGAGAAGCUUGCUUCUCUGAUGUUAGCGGCGGACGGGUGAGUAACACGUGGAUAACCUACCUAUAAGACUGGGAUAACUUCGGGAAACCGUAGCUAAUACCGGAUAAUAUUUUGAACCGCAUGGUUCAAAAGUGAAAGACGGUCUUGCUGUCACUUGUAGAUGGAUCCGCGCUGCAUUAGCUAGUUGGUAAGGUAACGGCUUACCAAGGCAACGAUGCAUAGCCGACCUGAGAGGGGGAUCGGCCACACUGGAACUGAGCCGCGGUCCAGACGCCUAAGGGAGGCAGCAGUAGGGAAUCUUCCGCAGUGGGCGAAAGCCUUACGGAGCAACGCCGCGUGAGUGAUGGAGGUCUUCGGAUCGUAAAACUCUGUUAUUAGGGAAGAACAUAUGUGUAAGUAACUGUGCACAUCUUGACGGUACCUAAUCAGAAAGCAACGGCUAACUACGUG